UCAUAUGCUUGUCUCAAAGAUUAAGCCAUGCAUGUGUCAGUACAGGCCGUUCUAAGGCUAAACCGCGAAUGGCUCAUUAAAUCAGUUAUGGUUCAUUUGAUCUCAAUCCCCCAUUACUUGGAUAACCCUGGUAAUUCUAGAGCUAAUACGUGAAACAAAAACUCCGACUGGAAGGGAGGAGUGCUUUUAUUAGAUGAAAACCAAUCGGGCCUCGGUCCGCCAUACGCAAAUUGUGAUGAUUCUGAAUAACUUUGUGCUGAGAGCACGGUCUCCGCACCGGCUCUGUAUCUUUCGAGUUUCUGCCUUAUCAUGCUGUGGAUUGUAGGCUAUGCGCCUACUGUGGCUGUUACGGGUGACGGAGAAUCAGGGUUCGAUUCCGGAGAGGGAGCCUGAGAAACGGCUACCACAUCCAAGGAAGGCAGCAGGCACGCAAAUUACCCAAUCUCAGAUCUGGGAGGUAGUGACGAAAAAUAACAAUGCGGGACUCUUCCGAGUCUGCGUAAUUGGAAUGAGCACACUUUAAAUCCUUUAGCAACAACCAAUUGGAGGGCAAGUCUGGUGCCAGCAGCCGCGGUAAUUCCAGCUCCAAUAGCGUAUAUUAAAGUUGUUGCGGUUAAAAAGCUCGUAGUUCGAGCUCAGUCCGGACUGGCUGGGGAUGUACCGCCCGGUGCUUCCCCGUCAGGCUCCGAACAGCUUUUAUGACUAAAAGCCAAGUCGGUUUCGCCGGGGUGCUCUUCACCGAGUGUCCCGCGCGGCCGGCCAGUUUACCUUGAAUAAAUGAGAGUGCUCAAAGCAGGCUACUCUUAAAAAUAAAGCCCGAAUGUUACCUGCAUGGAAUGAUGGAAGAUGAUCUCGGUUCCAUUUUAUUGGUUCUGGGAAUCCGAGUUAAUGAUAAACAGGGACUGUCGGGGGCAUCCGUACUACGACGCGAGAGGUGAAAUUCUAUGACCGUCGUAGGACGAACAACAGCGAAAGCAUUUGCCAAGAAUGUCUUCGUUGAUCAAGAACGAAAGUUAGAGGAUCGAAGGCGAUCAGAUACCGCCCUAGUUCUAACCCUAAACGAUGCUAACUAGCAAUCCGCCGUCGUUAUUCCCAUGACGUGGCGGGACGCCCCCGGGAAACCUCAAGUCUUUGAGUUCCGGGGGUAGUAUGGUUGCAAAAUUGAAACUUAAAGGAAUUGACGGAAGGGCACCACCAGGAGUGGAGCCUGCGGCUUAAUUUGACUCAACACGGGAAAUCUCACCAGGGCCGGACACCAGAAGGAUUGACAGAUUAAGAGCUCUUUCUUGAUUUGGUGGGUGGUGGUGCAUGGCCGUUCUUAGUUGG
rnacentral:rRNA from 1 species